rnacentral:rRNA from 1 species
ACCCAAUAGAUACCCAGGUAGUCCACGCCCUAAACUAUGGAUACUCGACAUCAGCGAUACACUGUUGGUGUCUGAGCGAAAGCAUUAAGUAUCCCACCUGGGAAGUACGAUCGCAAGAUUGAAACUCAAAGGAAUUGGCGGGGGUCCGGCACAAGCGGUGGAGCAUGUGGUUUAAUUACGAUGAUACGCGAGGAACCGUUACCUGGGCGUAGAAUGCUGGGAGACCGAGGGUGAAAGCUCUCUUUGUUAGCAAUACACUGCCAGUAAGGUGCUGCAUGGCUGUCGUCAGCUCGUGCCGUGAGGUGUUGGGUUAAGUCCCGCAAUGAGCGCAACCCCCGACU